AAUAGAUACCCUGGUAGUCCACGCCGUAAACGAUGGAUACUAGCUGUUCGGAGUAAUCUGAGUGGCUAAGCGAAAGUGAUAAGUAUCCCACCUGGGGAGUACGUUCGCAAGAAUGAAACUCAAAGGAAUUGACGGGGGCCCGCACAAGCGGAGGAGCAUGUGGUUUAAUUCGAUGAUACGCGAGGAACCUUACCAGGGCUUAAAUGGGAGACGACAGGACUGGAAACAGUUUUUCUUCGGACGUCUUUCAAGGUGCUGCAUGGUUGUCGUCAGCUCGUGCCGUGAGGUGUCAGGUUAAGUCCUAUAACGAGCGCAACCCCUAUCGUUAGUUGCCAGCGGGUUAAGCCGGGAACUCUAACGAGACUGCCAGUGCAAACUGUGAGGAAGGUGGGGAUGACGUCAAAUCAUCACGGCCCUUACGUCCUGGGCUACACACGUGCUACAAUGGGCGGUACAGAGAGCAGCCACUACGCAAGUAGGCGCGAAUCUUCAAAACCGUUCUCAGUUCGGAUCGGAGUCUGCAACUCGACU
rnacentral:rRNA from 1 species